UACGGUCGCAAGAUUAAAACUACAAAGGAAGUUGACGGGGCCCGCACAAGCGGUGGAUGAUGUGGAUUAAUUCGAUGCAACGCGAAAACCUUACCUACCCUUGACAUGUCAGGAAGUCCGCAGAGACGUGGAUGUGCUCGAAAGAGAACCUGAACACAGGUGCUGCAUGGCUGUCGUCAGCUCGUGUCGUGAGAUGUUGGGUUAAGUCCCGCAACGAGCGCAACCCUUGCCAUUAGUUGCUACAUUUAGUUGGGCACUCUAAUGGGACUGCCGGUGACAAACCGGAGGAAGGUGGGGAUGACGUCAAGUCCUCAUGGCCCUUAUGGGUAGGGCUUCACACGUCAUACAAUGGCGCGUACAGAGGGUUGCCAACCCGCGAGGGGGAGCUAAUCCCAGAAAGCGCGUCGUAGUCCGGAUUGUAGUCUGCAACUCGACUACAUGAAGUCGGAAUCGCUAGUAAUCGCGGAUCAGCAUGUCGCGGUGAAUACGUUCCCGGGCC
rnacentral:rRNA from 1 species